CUGUGAAGUUGUGGCUGGGACACCAGUCCUGGGGGGGUCCCUUUCAGCCCUGAUGUGUCCAGCUCCAGCAUGAAGCUCCACCCUUACUCCAUUCCAGGCUCCUCCCUAAUUCCCACCCCCAGCCAGAGGCCUCCUUCCCUGGCACUGUCAAGUGGGACCUUCAGGGCUAUUUAUGGCCUGGCCUCUGAGUGCCCCCGCCCCUCCCACACUGGGUCUCUGCCUGGCUGGGGCCCAGCACCACCGCCCAGUCUGCCAGAGGCCUUGCCCUGGGUCCUGCUGCUCUGGCUCUCUGUCCAUGAACCUGGCCAUGCCGGGGAGAAGGAGCUCCCCUCCGCGGUGGGGACACCAUGUGGGGUCCCGGGUUUGGGGGCCCCAGUCCUGCCCAGCCCGGGUGCCCCGUCCGCCUUCGCCGCUGCUGUGCCAGGACAUGGCACUGCAGAACGCCCUGUACACCGGAGACCUGGCCCGGCUGCACGAGCUGUUUCCCCCGCACAGCACGGCUGACCUGCUGCUGGAGAGCCGGGCUGCCGAGCCUCGCUGGAGCUGCCACCAGAGGGGUGAGGGGCGCCGGGGGCACCGGGUACCUAGCACUUAAGGGGAAGGAGAGGCCCCUGGCUGCUGCUCUCCCACCCCGAGGCUGACCAAGACCUUGGCCCAAGAGAGGAGUCAUGCGGAGCCCAGAAUAGCUCCGGCUGAACCCAGCGGCCAGGCUGGUGGAGAAGCCCAGCAGAGGGCCCGCAGAGCGCCCGGAGUCCGGCUCGGGCCCUAUCGUCACCCGCACGGCCUCGGGACCCGCCCUGGCCUUCUGGCAGGCGGUGCUGGCCGGGGACGUGGGCGCCGUCUCCCGCAUCCUCGGCGACUCCAGCACCGGCCUGGCUCCGGAUUCCGUCUUUGAUACCAGCGACCCGGAGCGAUGGAGGGAUUUCCGCUUCAACAUCCGCGCUCUGAGACUCUGGUCUCUGACGUACGAGGAGGAGCUCACCACCCCUCUGCACGUGGCCGCCAGCCGGGGCCACAAGGAGGUUCUGCAGCUGCUGCUGAGGCGGCGGGCGAGGCCCGACGGCGCCCCCGGGGGCCGCACCGCCCUGCACGAGGCCUGCACUGCCGGCCACGCUGACUGUGCCCACGUGCUGCUGGUGGCAGGAGCCGACCCCAACAUCCCUGACCAGGAUGGGAAACGCCCCUUGCACCUCUGCGGGGGCACUGGCAGCCUUGAGUGUCAUUUUUAAAGAGUGGUAACACGUAAUGUUUACCGUCUUAACCAUUUCUCAGUGUUCAGCAAUUAUCCCCAUUCUACAGAUGAAGAGACUGGCGCUCAAAGAGGCUAAGUUCCCUUAGCCUUGAAUUUCAGGGCACACGGCCUUACGGGAACACGCCGUCUUCCAUGAGGUCCUUCUGGGAGCAGAUCUGGCUGGCCAGUUUUGGUCUUGUUCUUUCUCCCACGGCCCCAACUGCCAUUUGUGCCAACCUGUGCCCCCCACUCCUGUGUGCAGAGCUGCUCCUGAGGUUUGGAGCCAAAGUGGAUGGUCGGUCCGAGGAGGAGGAGGAGACCCCUUUGCAUGUGGCCGCACGGCUGGGUCAUGUGGAGCUGGCAAACCUACUUCUAAGACGGGGCGCCUGCCCCAAUGCCCGCGAUGCCGAAGGCUGGACCCCGCUGCUGGCUGCCUGUGACACCCGCUGCACGUCCCCCGCUGACGCCGAGGCCACCACUGCCCGCUGCCUCCAGCUGUGCCACUUGCUGCUCUCAGCCGGGGCUGACGCCGAUGCUGCUGACCAGGACAGGCGGCGGCCCCUGCACCUGGCCUGUCGCCGUGGCCACGCGGCCGUCGUGGAGCUGCUCCUGUCCUACGGCGUCAGUGCCAACGCCAUGGACUAUGGGGGACACACAGCCCUGCACUGUGCACUGCAGGGCCCGGCAGCGGCCCUGGCCCAGAGCCCGGAGCGCACAGUGCGGGCUCUGCUCAACCAUGGGGCCGUGCGCGUGUGGCCUGGGGCUCUCCCCAAGGUACGGGGCUGGGGCCAAAGGGAGGGUGUGGGGGGCACAGACCUGGGCUCCAGCUUGUUCAGGAUGCAGCUCCAAACCAUGGCACAAAGGUCAGUACUUUGUUUUUCAUUCAUCAAGUGACCAAAGCCCAACGAGGGCAAAGGUGAGGACACACACCAGCAGCAGGUGCAUGUGCACAGGCGUGUGCACAGGUGUUUACACCAGGAGCUUGUGCACAUACAGGUGUUGGCAUGUAGGUAUGUGUACACAUGCGUGUGUGAUGAAGGCAGACUGGGGGGCCAGUGGGGCCAGAUUAUUAGGGCUCCGAAGAAACCUGUGGAGCCAGGGCUGAUGUGGGCGGCAGGGGGCAGCUGCUUCAUCAGGGGAGAGAGCUGAUGAAAGAAGCAGUUAGGAAGCGCCCCCUGGCAGUGGGACACGCCAGGCACAGGAGACCCUCCUCCAGGGCAGAGCCUGGGUCUUGAGGUUCAAGGCCUCCUGGCCAUCUGCUGAUGGGCAUGGCCCUUGUUUCCAAGAGCUUAACGGAACAGACACCACAAGACCAGCAGCUGCUAGCCUGGCAUCAGAGACAAUGCCUCCCACUGUCAAUUUCCAAUCUCGGAUUUUACGUUAAUAUCCCCGAGGUGAGUUCAACCUGAAGCUCUGUGCUGCAGAUACCCUGGAAGGGGGCUCCGCCCAUGCUGUGCCAUGUCUGGAGGGGGCACUGGUCCUGGGGUGGGGACCCUGGUUCUCCAAGGAGCUGGGUCAGGUGGUUUAGGGGAGCAGGCCAGGGGCAGGUCCCCCUCCCCACCUCCAGGCUUGAACCCUCCACUCCCGCCCAGUCCUGGAUGUUGCCCUGCUGUCCCGGCCUCUCCCCCUCACUCACAAACCUAGAAGCAUCUGUCUAGAUUCCUGAGCAAGACCAAAUAAUUAAACAGCCGGAGAGUUCGGCAGAUUGGUCUCCCCUUUGGGAAAAUACAAGAAAAUCAACAAUUAACACUAAUUAAUCUCCUAUUAACACCAGAUAAUUAGGAGACGAGCAAUUCCCUGUAAUCUGACGGUGGCUGUGACAGCUAAUGAUUUCCCCUUUGGGAAGGGGGUGGGAGAAGGGGCGGAGCAGCCAACAAUUUUCCUGGGACCCAGCUGCCCGCCCCCCUCCAGCCCUGUUCACCCUCCCUGGGGGACAAGGAGGCCGGCACAGCAAAGUGUGCCCCAUUCGUGCCCUCAUCUGGGCUCCACAGCAUUCCAGGCGAUCCAAAGUCGGCAUCCGUGGGCCGCAACCUGCAGCUGCUCCCGGCUUGGCAGGGGCCCCUUCCCCCAGUGAGCACCUCCUUGCUGCAGGGUGGCCUCCACGGCCAGUGUGUGGUCACAGCCAGCCCCAGCCCAUCCCCGGGGAGCCACCAUUCAGGACUGGGUGCUUGGAAGACCUGGAGCCAGGGUCUGGCCUUUACACAUGUUUGUGUGACAAAGACCAGACCCUGGAAUUCUGGGAACCCAGGUUCUUUGCGUGUGAUACAGUCUUGACCUAAAGGUGACAAAAAGCCAUCGGAUCCCAGUGAGAAAUUAGGAACAAGCACAGCCCUGACACAUCCAGACUCUGUUCUAAGGUGUGUCACCUGCAGCAUGGGGUCCCUCAACCCUUCCAACACCUGCGAGGUAGGGGGCAACGAGGGAGCUCAGGACACGACCUGUGUGACCCUCAGCAAGUUAUUUAAUCUCUCCAGGCCUCAACUUACUCAGCUUUUAUUUACUUAUUUUUUUUAGGGCCACACCCUAGGCCCUAAUUCCCAGGCUAGAGGUCAAAUCUGAGCUUCAGCUGCCAGCCUCCACCACAGCUCACAGCAACACCAGAUCCGAGCUGCAUCUGCGACCUGCACCGCAGCUUGUGGCAAUGCCAGAUCCUUAACCCACUGAGUGAGGCCAGGGAUCAAACCUGCAUCCUCACGGACACUGUCGGGUUCUUAACCCGCUGAACCACAACAGGAAUUCCAGUUUCCUCACUUUUAAAACAGGAGCCUCCUUCACAGGGGGAGCAGGAGAAUCAGUAAGUCAUGCGUAUAAAGCCCUUGGGUCAAGGCCUAACCUGGAGUUACUACCGCUCAAUACGUGUUGCCAGGAUUGUGCUAAAGUUAAUGUAGAUGAAGGCGCUUGGAAAACUCCCCAGUGUAGGGUAUCAUUAGACAAGCGGGACAGCGGUGCAGGCUAGUUACCUGCCGGAGGCUUCCUGGAGGGGAUGGGAUUUGGGGUGAGCAGGGCUUGGUGAGACCGAGAGGCCUUCCUCGACAGCCAUCUAGGAUGCUUAGCCCCUGAGCCUACCCGUUUUCUUUGCUGCAGCAUAUGCAUGAGGGGUUAUUUGUGGGUGUGUUGUAUUUUCCUUCUGGAAGAGAAACUCUCAGGAAUCCCAGAGUGGGUUAGGAAGGGUGGAGGGACCGGUGUGAAGGGCAGGCAAGAGCAGGAAAGUUCAAUGUCUCCAGCUUGUUCUUUCCCGGCUCCACAGAGGAGUGAGGCAGGGGACUCAGGGGAGAGGCCAGGCCAGGCAGAUGGGCUAGGGCAGCUCCAGAAAGCGCUGCCCAGAUGCAGGGCCGGAAGCAGGGGCAAUGCUUUGUCCAGGGGGCUUACUUCCUGGACAAGACCUUCCACAGGCUCCCAGGACCCAGCAGCGCCCAGCACUUGCAGCCCUCCCAGCCUGCCGGGCAGAACCUUCUCCACUCCUUGCAGGCAGGGGUGUUAGAGGCCCUAGUGUUGCAGGCAAGUGUGCACAGGGGUGGAGGUUGUGUCCAGGAAUGCUGCCUAAGAGACGGAACUCAGCGGUUGUCAGGUUUUUCAAAGGGUCUGUGGCCACUGCCUGUAGCUUGAGAUACAGUGAGAAAUGGAGUGGCUGAAGCAUGAAUCUGUUGAUAGGUAUUACCUGCAGGCAUGGACUGGAUGAUGGUUCCUGUGUAUGUCCAAGCUGUGCAUGGUUGCCUUUCUGGCCAGGGAGAUGGUGCCCUGGCAUGGGCUGUGCCCCCAGCGUGGCUCACCCUGUGGAGCGCAGGCCACCUCCUCAGAGAGGCCUUCCUUGACAGCCAUCUAGGAUGCUUAGCCCCUGAGCCUACCCGUUUUCUUUGCUGCAGCAUAUGCAUGAGUGGUUAUUUGUGGAUGUGUUAUAUUUUCCUUCUGGAAGAGAAACUCCCAGGCAACAAGGACCUGCCUCUCCUCCUCACUGCUGGGUCCCCAGGGCCUGACCCAUAGUGACCCUCGGCAGAUAUCUGCUGAAUGAAGAAAUGAAAAAAUGAAUCCGGCUUGGAGUUCCUGGGGUGGUGCAGCAGUAACAAACCUGACUAGUAUCCAUGAAGACCCGGGUUCGAUACCUGGGCUCACUCAGCGGAUUAAGGAUCUGGCGUUGCCGGUGAGCUGUGGUGUGGGUUGCAGAUGAGGCUUGGAUCCCACGUUGCUGUGGCUGUGGUGCAGCUCCAAUUCGACCCCUAGCCUGGGAAUCUCCAUAUGCUGCAGGUGCAACCCUAAAAAGACAAACGCAAACAAAAAGAAUGAAUCUGACUCCCACCUGAUCCCACACCCCUGAUCCCCCAUGUCAGGCCUCUGCUGGCCUCUUCCUUUCUCCUUAGAUGCCCCCCUGGCUCCCGAGUUCUCCCAGCCUUUACAGCCCAAGCCCGCAUCUCUGUGAACCCCUCCCAGCCCUCCAGUCUCCGCGUCUCACCUGGCAUCAGGCAGAUUCUGCCCGUACAGUGAUGGAUCUUUUUAUCCGCUCAGGAGCUCCAGCCCCAGGUCAGGGACCCCUUGCCCCCCAGGAAGACCCCACAGAGAGCCCUGUAGAGGCAGACAGGAGAGCAGGAUGGCAUAGUAGUUAAGGGCAAGGAGCCACACCGCCGGGCCUGGAUUGCUGGAACUACAGCUCAGGCAAGUUACUUCACUUCUCUGUGCCUCAGUUUCCCUUGUCUGUAAAAUAGGGAUAAGAACAGUCCAUCCCUGGCAGGGACAGGGAUUAAGUGCGAAGAACCAUUUGGGGUCAAUUAUGCACAAAAGCAAUGUUAGCUGUGUUAGCAAAGUGCUGCUGAUUUCCUGCCACGGCCGUAGCAGAGUACCACAGACUGGCUGUCUUAAUAGAAACGUGCUCCGUUACAGGUCUGGAGGCUGGGAGUUUGGAAUCUUCGAGUCGGCAGGGUUGGCUUCUUCUGGAGGUUUCAAAGGAAAGUCUGUCCUAACUUUGGGUGGCGGUCCAUGGCCCUUGGCCCGAGACGCCUCGCUUUAAUCUCUGCCUCUGUCAUCACGUGACCUUCUCCCCAUGCGUCCGUUUUCUCCUCUAAAGACAGCAGUCGUCUCGGAUUACGACCCACUCCAGCCACCUCAUUUUUAACUUGAUUCCAUCUGCAAAGACCCUAGUUCUAAAGAGGUGACAUUGAUAAGUACUGGGAUGACAAUGUCAGCAGAUCUUUGGGGAACACAAUUCAACCCACGAGAGCUGUUCCUUGGCUGUCUAGUGGUUCUGUGCGGGCUGAUGGGGGCCCAGCCUGGAGGUCACCCCUGGAGCCCUGACUCAGCUCUGCCCCCUGCAGGUGCUGGAGCGCUGGUGCACGUCCCCUCGCACCAUUGAGGUCCUGAUGAACACCUACAGCGUCAUGCAGCUUCCCGAGGAGGCCGUGGGUCUGGUGCCUCCGGAAACUCUGCAGAAGCACCACCACUUCUACUCCUCCCUCUUCGCCUUGGCGAGGCAGCCCAGAUCGCUGCAGCAUCUGAGCCGCUGUGCCCUCCGUGCUCACCUGGCCACCUGCCUGCCCCACGCCCUGCCCCGCCUGCCGCUGCCACCCCGCCUGCUCCGCUACCUGCAGCUGGAUUUCGAGGAUGUGCUCUACUAGAUGUCCACUGCCUUUUGCAAGAGCCUGAAAGCAGAUGCCCCAGGCCCUAGGGCAUGCCAGCCUGCUUCUCACAGCACCUGGAACUCAGCACUGCGUGGAACGGACUCAGGCUGGGGUGGCCUCUCAGCAGGAGGUCCUGCUCCACAGGCAGAUGUGGACGUGGUCGUUCCCACCAGGAGAGGCGGAUGGACCAUGUGGCCAGGUGACCUCUGGUGGAGAGAGUGCUAGGACUCAUGGCAAGUGACACCCUCCUCUUGGGGGUCUCCUGAGGCCCCCCUCCAGCCUGUCCCAGCCCUGCGGGCACAUUAAACAUCUCCAGACUGGUGGUGUUC